GAUGAAGAACGCAGUGAAAUGCGAUAAGUAAUGUGAAUUGCAGAAUUCAGUGAAUCAUCGAGUCUUUGAACGCACAUUGCGCCCCCUGGUAUUCCGGGGGGCAUGCCUGUCCGAGCGUCAUUGCUGCCCUCAAGCACGGCUUGUGUGUUGGGCCCCCGUCCCCGGUUUCCCCCGGGGACGGGCCCGAAAGGCAGCGGCGGCACCGCGUCCGGUCCUCGAGCGUAUGGGGCUUUGUCACCCGCUCUGUAGGCCCGGCCGGCGCCAGCCGACACCCAACUUUAUUUCUAAGGUUGACCUCGGAUCAGGUAGGGAUGCCCGCUGAACUUAAGCAUAUCAAUAAGCGGAGGA
rnacentral:misc_RNA from 1 species